rnacentral:rRNA from 2 species
GGCAUAGCAAUAUGUCAGCGGCAGACGGGUGAGUAACGCGUGGGAAUCUACCCAACCCUAUGGAAUAACGCAUGGAAACGUGUGCUAAUAUCAUAUACGCCCCCCUUUAAAAUACCAAGAAUCAUAAAAUGCCUUGGCAUUUUAUGGGGGGGAAAGAUUUAUCGGGGAUGGAUGAGCCCGCGUUGGAUUAGCUAGUUGGUGGGGUAAAGGCCUACCAAGGCGACGAUCCAUAGCUGGUCUGAGAGGAUGAUCAGCCACAUUGGGACUGAGACACGGCCCAAACUCCUACGGGAGGCAGCAGUGGGGAAUAUUGGACAAUGGGCGCAAGCCUGAUCCAGCCAUGCCGCGUGAGUGAUGAAGGCCCUAGGGUUGUAAAGCUCUUUCACCGGAGAAGAUAAUGACGGUAUCCGGAGAAGAAGCCCCGGCUAACUUCGUGCCAGCAGCCGCGGUAAUACGAAGGGGGCUAGCGUUGUUCGGAAUUACUGGGCGUAAAGCGCACGUAGGCGGAUAUUUAAGUCAGGGGUGAAAUCCCAGAGCUCAACUCUGGAACUGCCUUUGAUACUGGGUAUCUCGAGUAUGGAAGAGGUAAGUGGAAUUCCGAGUGUAGAGGUGAAAUUCGUAGAUAUUCGGAGGAACACCAGUGGCGAAGGCGGCUUACUGGUCCAUUACUGACGC